rnacentral:rRNA from 1 species
GAUGAACGCUGGCGGCGUGCUUAACACAUGCAAGUCGAACGGUGAAGGCGGAGCUUGCUCUGCUGGAUCAGUGGCGAACGGGUGAGUAAAACGUGAGCAAUCUGCCCCUGACUCUGGGAUAAGCGCUGGAAACGGCGUCUAAUACUGGAUACGAGCUGCGAAGGCAUCUUCAGAAGCUGGAAAGAACUUCGGUCAGGGAUGAGCUCGCGGCCUUUCAGCUUGUUGGUGAGGUAACGGCUCACCAAGGCAUCGACGGAUAGCCGGCCUGGGAGGGUGAACGGCCACACUGGGACGGAGACACGGCCGAUACACCUACGGGAGGCAGCAGGGGGGAAUAAUGCACAUGGGGCGAAAGCCUGAUGCAGCAACGCAGCGUGAGGGACGACUGACUUCGUGUUGUAAACAUCUUUUAGCAGUGAAGAAGCGAAAGUGACGGUACCUGAAGAAAAAGCGCCGGCUAACUACGUG